GGGGACCUUCGGGGCCCUAAACACCAGUGGCCCUUCGGGGUUGCCGAAGCAAACGGAAGACAGAAA
rnacentral:ncRNA from 1 species